rnacentral:lncRNA from 1 species
CAUCGCCAAUGUGCUUUGACACACAUCACCUCGUUUGGUAAAAAUCGGUCCAGGUGCAAGGGCCGGCCUGAAAGGAGCAAGGAGCCUGGAAGACGGAUGAGGUUGGAACAGAAACAGCAAGUGGUGUGUCUGGCUGAAGCACACGAGUGCAGUCAGAGAUGAAGCUGGGAAGGUGUCUGGGUGAGGCUGACCUCGGGGGUCUCCAGAUACGUUUGAUACCAAAUCCAUUGCUCUUCACUGCUGCUGUACACUGGCUCAAAUAGUGGUCAGUCUCCAAGCUGCUCUAAGACAAGAUGCAUGAAGCGAACUCAGCAGGGUGUGGAGGGAGGGCAUGGAGAGCAGCUAGCUAAACCAUGGGAGCUACUUCAUCGCACACUCACGCUCUCACUCAAGGUAGAACCGGCUGAGCCUGAAAGGGUCGGUUGUCAACUCGAGAGGAGAAAGGAAAUGCCCGGUAAAUGACAGACCAUUUGCAGCCUCCCCUCCCCAGCAGACGAGCUGACCAUCACCAAGUGAUGGGGGUCUACCAAAAGUGGGGGCUUGAGGAGGGCUUUGAUCAUAAGCAGUUGCCAUGUUUGUAGGUUGACAACAGCUGCAUGUCGGCACUUUCACGGAGUAAACAUCAUACAAAAUGAUGGCAUCACUUCCGCUGGCCUGCAGCUGAGUGGAGGAAGCCCAGGAACUGAAUGGGAUGGU